GAUGAACGCUGGCGGCGUGCCUAAUACAUGCAAGUCGAGCGAACAGAUGAGAAGCUUGCUUCUCUGAUGUUAGCGGCGGACGGGUGAGUAACACGUGGGUAACCUACCUAUAAGACUGGGAUAACUCCGGGAAACCGGGGCUAAUACCGGAUAAUAUUUUGAACCGCAUGGUUCAAUAGUGAAAGACGGUUUCGGCUGUCACUUAUAGAUGGACCCGCGCCGUAUUAGCUAGUUGGUAAGGUAACGGCUUACCAAGGCGACGAUACGUAGCCGAACUGAGAGGGGGAUGGGCCAACCUGGCACUGAGACACGGUCCAGACUCCUACGGGAGGCAGAAGUAGGUAAUCUUCCGCAAUGGGCGAAAGCCUGACGGAGCAACGCCGCGGGAGUGAUGAAGGUCUUCGGAUCGUAAAACUCUGUUGUUAGGGAAGAACAAAUUUGUUAGUAACUGAACAAGUCUUGACGGUACCUAACCAGAAAGCCACGGCUAACUACGUGCCAGCCGCCGCAGUAA
rnacentral:rRNA from 1 species